AGUGAACGCUGGCGGUAGGCCUAACACAUGCAAGUCGAACGGCAGCACAGGAGAGCUUGCUCUCUGGGUGGCGAGUGGCGGACGGGUGAGGAAUACAUCGGAAUCUACUUUUUCGUGGGGGAUAACGUAGGGAAACUUACGCUAAUACCGCAUACGACCUACGGGUGAAAGCAGGGGACCUUCGGGCCUUGCGCGAUUGAAUGAGCCGAUGUCGGAUUAGCUAGUUGGCGGGGUAAAGGCCCACCAAGGCGACGAUCCGUAGCUGGUCUAAGAGGAUGAGCAGCCACACUGGAACGGAGACACGGUCCAGACUCCUACGGGAGGGAGCAGUGGGGAAUAUUGGACAAUGGGCGCAAGCCUGAUCCAGCCAUACCGCGUGGGUGAAGAAGGCCUUCGGGUUGUAAAGCCCUUUUGUUGGGAAAGAAAUCCAGCUGGCUAAUACCCGGUUGGGAUGACGGUACCCAAAGAAUAAGCACCGGCUAACUUCGUGCCAGCCGCCGCAGUAA
rnacentral:rRNA from 1 species